GUUUAACUGAAAGGAUGGAUACAAGUGACAGGCUUGUGCUACAUAUCGCGUGCCUCACUCAGUCAGCUGUGAGAGCCUGUUCUUAUACGCCAGUGCUGAGUAACAAUAAGAAGCGGAGGUGCGAACGAAACCAAGACGCCAUUAUGUGAAUUCAGCAGCUCUACGGAAUGUGACGGACACGUUGUUUGGUCGCGUCUCCCACAGCGUAGCCUCCGAGUGGUCGGCUCAGGCACCGCCCACCACAAGAAACCUGUGCCUAAACAGAGAAACUCUAUGAGAUGUAGAGGACUUGGCUGCGCUGAAAUAUCCGACGAACUUAAAUGAAUGGAUGACAAAAUAAUACCAAUAUUGUUAGAAUAUACGAGGAAUAACAA